rfam:Gossypium hirsutum cultivar TM-1 chromosome 3, whole genome shotgun sequence
AAACCAUGCAUCGGGCAUUUUCUAAUUAGUUCCCUGAAACGUUCCCAUGCUUCAUAUAAUGUUUCAUCUUUCGACUGCAUAAACAAUGUAUUAUGGUUCCUAAGCUU